rnacentral:tRNA from 1 species
GGUUCCGUGGCCCAGUGGUUAGCGCGUUUGACUCGUAAGCAAGUGCUCCGGGUUCAAUUCCCGGUCUCAUCCA